rnacentral:lncRNA from 1 species
CUAAAAUGGUUAAUAUGUGGAUAAAUAGAAAAAUAUUUUUCUUUCCAAUUUUUUUUGUUUCUUCAAAUUUAAUUGAGUGUUUAAGUCUCCAACAGUGUAUUGUGUAGCUCAUAAAAUGUAAGAAUAAAAAGUGUAACAAUAACAUGAGUGGUAGGUGGGGCAGGGUUAUAGAAUAUGUUGUUCUAUCUGAAGUAGUAUAACAUUAGUGAGGGAAGACUAUAUUGGGCUCAUAAUGCAUAUUAUAAAUCCUAGAGGAGUGACUUAAAAUAAAAACAUUAAGUUGUAUAGCUAAUAAAUCAAUAGAUUAGAUAAAAUGGGAGGUACUAGAAGUACUCAGCCUGAUUGUCCUCCUCCAGCCCUCCCCUGCAAAGAAAAAAAAAAAGGUUGACAAGAGGAAAAGCAGUAAGAAAGCCAUGAUCGUCUCUCUUUUCUCUGUGAAUUUGGAAUUCUGCUGACAGUUCAUCUGCUGAGAAGUGAAUUCAUCUGCUGGGGACUGUUUGAAAAAGAAGAGGAAAGGGAAGGGAGAAGAAAGUUGCUUCCCAUAGGGCGCAUCUGAAGAUGGAAAGCAUACAUUUGUGGAAUCCACCUUCAUAUUCUGCAACUUAUGGACUAAAUGGGAAAGAUAACCACUACCAGUAUUUCUAAUGUAACUAAUAAGGGAAAGGAAGAGGGAAGAGAAAGAUGCAAGAACACUCAAGUAGAUGCAUCACCAUGUUUCUCAUGUAUCAGCUACUUUUGGAUGAUGACGCAUAUAAUAAGAUCUCU